UAGCUUGCUACCCGCUGACGAGCGGCGGACGGGUGAGUAAUGCAUAGGAAUCUGCCCGAUAGUGGGGGAUAACCUGGGGAAACCCAGGCUAAUACCGCAUACGUCCUACGGGAGAAAGGGGGCUCCGGCUCCCGCUAUCGGAUGAGCCUAUGUCGGAUUAGCUAGUUGGUGAGGUAAUGGCUCACCAAGGCAACGAUCCGUAGCUGGUCUGAGAGGAUGAUCAGCCACAUCGGGACUGAGACACGGCCCGAACUCCUACGGGAGGCAGCAGUGGGGAAUAUUGGACAAUGGGCGAAAGCCUGAUCCAGCCAUGCCGCGUGUGUGAAGAAGGCCUUCGGGUUGUAAAGCACUUUCAGCGAGGAAGAACGCCUAGUGGUCAAUACCCAUUAGGAAAGACAUCACUCGCAGAAGAAGCACCGGCUAACUCCGUGCCAGCAGCCGCGGUAAUACGGAGGGUGCAAGCGUUAAUCGGAAUUACUGGGCGUAAAGCGCGCGUAGGUGGCUUGAUAAGCCGGUUGUGAAAGCCCCGGGCUCAACCUGGGAACGGCAUCCGGAACUGUCAGGCUAGAGUGCAGGAGAGGAAGGUAGAAUUCCCGGCGUAGCGGUGAAAUGCGUAGAGAUCGGGAGGAAUACCAGUGGCGAAGGCGGCCUUCUGGACUGACACUGACACUGAGGUGCGAAAGCGUGGGUAGCAAACAGGAUUAGAUACCC
rnacentral:rRNA from 1 species